rnacentral:rRNA from 1 species
UACGUAGGUGGCAAGCGUUGUCCGGAUUUACUGGGCGUAAAGAGCGCGCAGGCGGUCGUUCAAGUCGCGUGUGAAAGCCCCCGGCUCAACUGGGGAGGGUCACGCGAUACUGAUCGACUCGAAGGCAGGAGAGGGUAGUGGAAUUCCCGGUGUAGUGGUGAAAUGCGUAGAUAUCUGGAGGAACAUCGGUGGCGAAGGCGGCAUCCUGGACCGGUAUUGACGCUGAGGCGCGAAAGCCAGGGGAGCAAACGGG